GCGUCAGUAGUGCAACGGGUUAGAGCACGCGCUCUCGGAUAGAGUAGGAUGUGGGUUCGAGUUCCAGCUGACGCA